ensembl:lncRNA
GCUGGUGGGAGGGGCGAGAAGUAUGUUUCAUUUCCAUUAAUCAGUGGAGAGUCUAAAUGAAGAGGCACCAUGAUUGUGAACUGAGUUUCAGUUCUUCUGUAAAUCUCAAGCUCAGAUGCUUUAUUUGAUGUUUUUCCUGGAGAGCAGCAUCCCAUUACACCGCACACUAAAGGACAAGUUGGAGUGUUACAUGCCCAGAGGAAGGCCCAUACAAGUGUUUGGUUAAAAUCAACUUCAGAGUUAAUGCUUGGUAUUUGCUCUAGGACUAAUGGUAAUUAGAUUGAGCAAAGCAGGCAUGAGGAGGACAAUGCAUUCACUAAAGCGAUGACAUCAUGCGAGAGCACAGUAUUCUAAGUCCAGCCGAAACUAUCCCGCACGACACUGUGAUGAUGGACACAAGACCCUGCGCGUUUUUCAAAAGCCCAUUGAACUUUACAGCCCAGAGAAUGAGCCUUAAUGUAUGUAUUUCUUAAAUCUGAGACAGUCAUUUAGGAGGUCAGAGGAUCCUCGCGUGGAAAGAAAUCUACGACAAAAGAGUCUAACUGCAUUACAAAUGUGUGACGUAUCACUAAGGGAACUGAAGAAAAACCAUCUGAAAAUACCCAAGAAAAGUGUUUCUCCUGAGAGGACCAGGGAACCAGUGAUACACACGAAUACAGCCUGUAUCAGAAUCACGUGUGUAGCUUUUAAAUUCUAUGUUUAAAUACACGUGAAGCCAUCCCCACAGCUCAGAUAUUCCGUGUCAGUGGGUGUUGGGGGGAUCAUUUUUUAAAGAGGUCAAUGAUGGUUAAUAAAACAAGAACCUAAUAUUAAUCACAGAGAGGCUUAAUAUUCACACAGAAUUGGGAUGAAUUAUGCAGAAAGAUUUUAUAUAUCUUUCUUCUCCCUUUUCAUCUGGGUUUCAACCUGAAAGCUCUGCAAGUUACACAUUCCCUGAGGCUGAAUUGACUUGUUUAUGUAAUUGCCCUUUUUCUUCUCCAAGUUAAAAUUUUUAUGAUGGAAAAUAUAUUUCUUUCUUUAUCUUCUGUAUCUUUCAUUCUAUCAAAGGCAAAUUUAUGCAUUAGACUUCAGUGGUUAU